rnacentral:rRNA from 1 species
UACGGAGGGGGCUAGCGUUGUCCGAAGUUACUGGGCGUAAAGGGCGCGUAGGCGGCUUUUCAAGUGACGGGUGAAAUCCCUCGGCUUAACCGAGGAACUGCCUGUCAGACUGGAAGGCUUGAGACCGGGAGAGGUGAGUGGAAUUCCCAGUGUAGCGGUGAAAUGCGUAGAUAUUGGGAGGAACACCAGUGGCGAAGGCGGCUCACUGGACCGGAACUGACGCUGAGGCGCGAAAGCGUGGGGAGCAAACAGG